AGAGGGAUAGAAAGCCAGAUUCUUCAAACUCGAGAUUGAGCCGACUCGAAAGAUAGUCGAGCCUACUCAAAGUCAAACCAAGCCAAAUUGAGAUCAUUUCUAGCCAACUCGAAUGCUUCUGAUAUGCAUAAUGGCUAGUUAUACAGUGUAUCUUAUUUUUCAAUCCAAAUGAUAAAAAUGGCUAGUUUUGGCUUCAAAUCACUCCAGACUUGGAGGGAAUCAAGA
rnacentral:lncRNA from 1 species